rnacentral:rRNA from 1 species
GCCCUAGGCUUUGGGAUAACCCCGGGAAACCGGGGCUAAUACCGAAUAGGACCUCUGACCGCAUGGUUGGUGGUGGAAAGUUUUUCGGCCUGGGAUGGGCUCGCGGCCUAUCAGCUUGUUGGUGGGGUGAUGGCCUACCAAGGCGACGACGGGUAGCCGGCCUGAGAGGGCGACCGGCCACACUGGGACUGAGACACGGCCCAGACUCCUACGGGAGGCAGCAGUGGGGAAUAUUGCACAAUGGGCGGAAGCCUGAUGCAGCGACGCCGCGUGAGGGAUGACGGCCUUCGGGUUGUAAACCUCUUUCAGCAGGGACGAAGCGUAAGUGACGGUACCUGCAGAAGAAGCGCCGGCCAACUACGUGCCAGCAGCCGCGGUAAGACGUAGGGCGCGAGCGUUGUCCGGAUUUAUUGGGCGUAAAGAGCUCGUAGGCGGCUUGUCGCGUCGACUGUGAAAACCCGCAGCUCAACUGCGGGCCUGCAGUCGAUACGGGCAGGCUAGAGUUCGGUAGGGGAGACUGGAAUUCCUGGUGU